UCUUGUAAAUUUAUUGACUAAGAUAAUGCAGAUUUAACUCAUUGACCAAGAUAAUAGACAGAAAAGCAAUGCCUAAGAAAUCAAUAUUUGACCAUCAUAGUUUAGCACUCGAGUAGCUCAUGCUUGAAAAUGAAAGAUACCAGGGGGGGCAUUAUAGCACACAUAUGCUAGCCACGAAUUUCUACGAAUUCGAAUGCAAUAGAGCAAGCAAACAUGUAUUUGGAGGAAAAGAAAAAACAGAGGCCUCUUGGACACGAGGGCAGUGAGGCCACAAAUUAAAGAGAUGCAUCCUCUUCUUCUUCCUUUUCUUCUUCUUGUUGUAGAUCACUCCGCCUUGCCUUCUGCGGCUGCAUUAAAUGGGAGCACGAAAACUUUUUUUAGCACAUGCUGCAUCAAUUCACACGAGGCAAAUCGAAUCUAAAUUCUAGUCCUACUCGUACAAGACAAAGAGAGGGCAUGGGCAUGCAUGCAAAGCCUGAUCCAAACUAAACCAACAGAGGCAUACUACCAGGCUAGUACUCUAUAUCCAUAUGCAUUCAAGUCAACUACUAGUAGUAUUAUUACUAGCUACUCGAGAGAGGGCUCCACACAAACAGUACAGAGAGAGAGAGAAAGACGAAGGUUGGGACGCACCUUGGUCGGCCUUGAGGUCCUCUGCCACCUCCACGGCCGUGGCACCGAUGACGGACUGCUUGAUGCGUGGAGCCACGCCGAUAGCGCACCCAAGCAUGAGCAUCCCGACCGCCAUCACCAUGCGGUGCGUGCUCGUGACCAGAUGAACUUUGG
rnacentral:lncRNA from 1 species